rnacentral:tRNA from 1 species
GGAGAGAUGGCCGAGUGGUCGAAGGCGCCCGCUUGCUAAGCGGGUGUACGCCCAAAAGGUGUACCGUGGGUUCAAAUCCCACUCUCUCCG